ACACAAUCUUAAAAUCUUGUCCAUCUUAGAAAAUUUCUUUCCAAGUAUUUCUUUUGCUUUUUAAAAAAACUUAUAAAAAUAUUUUAUAGACCGAAUUUUAUCUCCUCCCCCUUCCCUCUCCCGGCUGCUCUCAGUUUAAUAGUUAUCAGUUUUCCCUCAGUGUUGGGUUUAAUUAUGUAGGACCAAAAUAUUCCCCAGUAAAUUAGCUUGCUAAAUAUUCUGUCACUAUUGUGAUUACCCCUUAGAGAAAUAGCUUAAUUACACAAAUCCUAUU
ensembl:misc_RNA